GCCGCAUCCGACGCACAGCGCGACCGCACCCGGAAUGCCCUGGUUCUCUCGGCCGCGUGCUUGUGCUCGCCGCUCCUGAAAGCCGUCGAGCGCGCCACAGCAGUCACGCGAGGCGUUCCGCGGAUUAGUGACGAGAACCAGGAGCGCGAUGGAAGAACGCCGCGUGGACCUGCUGGCUGUACACGAGGAACUAAUCGAGGCGUCGAGCAGCCGGCGGCGAACCACCCGCAAGCCGCGACCCAGGGACCGCUGGACUGUCGUCGUUGGACCCGAGAUACGCACGUGCUCAUAACAUCUGCCUGCACGAAGGUGCCUUUAGUGGCACUCGGUGAUCCUCUAUGGACCUGCAGCGGCUUAGCACAGGCUGUAAAGGCGAACAUCGCUCUUGCUGAGAAAAGCACAUGGCUGGCGUGGUCUGGUCUUUCUGACUUCCACAAACGCAGUCCAUUGGGAAGCUAUUCUCCAUAUACAGAGAUCCAUUCAACCAGCCACCAAGAGCAGAAAUGGACAUCUGGAUUAGCUCGUCCCCGUCACAGCAAUUUGA